CCUGCCUUCAGCGAACAGCUGGGGCCUGCGGUGGCCGCGGCACUGCUACUGGCGACCUUCAUGAUCCUGAGGACAGGCGGAGAGGCGCGGAGGAGUCUGAGAACAGGGUGUUAGAAGAGAGCAAGCAGUUGGAGAAAGGUCCAUUUUGCAGAUGAAACAGGAACCAGGUUGGCCCUGGGUUGGCCAGUGACUCAGGACUAGCCAAGGACUCCCAGAUGCUGUUGGAAGACUGGGCUGUGAUCUUUACUUAUUAAAAAGCCGAAUUUUAUUUUUAUAUUUA